AGUUUUUGAAUGCAUGAUAAUAUACUGAAAUUGGUAUGAUGAUGCGAUUGUAUUCCUUUGAUGCAUGUUUUGCUUGUUUUAUGUGAUUACGGUUGAAUUGGGAAACUGGGAAUUAAAGGUAGACGGAUAUUUGUUUGAUUAAGUGGAUAGAUGAAACGAUAAUCUUAUUGGAUAUCCUGUGAGAUGGUAGACGGAUUGGGUACAUAGGGAACCAUACCGUGAACGUUGCCUCAUACUGGACGGGGUAUGAGGAUAGCCUGUUUCACCUUCAUAUUGGACGG
rnacentral:lncRNA from 1 species